rnacentral:rRNA from 1 species
UGGGGAAUUUUUGACAAUGGGGGAAACCCUGAUCCAGCCAUCCCGCGUGUGCGAUGAAGGCCUUCGGGUUGUAAAGCACUCUUGGCAGGAAAGAAACGUCAUGGGUUAAUACCCCGUGAAACUGACGGUACCUGCAGAAUAAGCACCGGCUAACUACGUGCCAGCAGCCGCGGUAAUACGUAGGGUGCAAGCGUUAAUCGGAAUUACUGGGCGUAAAGCGUGCGCAGGCGGUUCGGAAAGAAAGAUGUGAAAUCCCAGAGCUCAACUUUGGAACUGCAUUUUUAACUACCGGGCUAGAGUGUGUCAGAGGGAGGUGGAAUUCCGCGUGUAGCAGUGAAAUGCGUAGAUAUGCGGAGGAACACCGAUGGCGAAGGCAGCCUCCUGGGAUAACACUGACGCUCAUGCACGAAAGCGUGGGGAGCAAACAGG